rnacentral:rRNA from 1 species
GAACGGCAGCACGGACUUCGGUCUGGUGGCGAGUGGCGAACGGGUGAGUAAUAUACCGGAACGUAUCCAAUAAUGGGGGAUAACUAAUCGAAAGGUUGGCUAAUACCGCAUACGCCCUGAGGGGGAAAGCUAGGGAUCUUCGGACCUGGCGUUAAUGGAGCGGCCGAUAUCUGAUUAGCUAGUUGGUGGGGUAAAGGCCCACCAAGGCGACGAUCAGUAGCUGGUCUGAGAGGACGACCAGCCACACUGGAACUGAGACACGGUCCAGACUCCUACGGGAGGCAGCAGUGGGGAAUUUUGGACAAUGGGCGCAAGCCUGAUCCAGCCAUUCCGCGUGAGUGAAGAAGGCCUUCGGGUUGUAAAGCUCUUUCGCAAGGGAAGAAAACUUAGUCUCUAACAUAGGCUGAGGUUGACGGUACCUUGAUAAGAAGCACCGGCUAACUACGUGCCAGCAGCCGCGGUAAUACGUAGGGUGCGAGCGUUAAUCGGAAUUACUGGGCGUAAAGCGUGCGCAGGCGGUUUUGUAAGUCAGAUGUGAAAUCCCCGAGCUCAACUUGGGAACUGCGUUUGAAACUACAAGACUAGAAUAGGUCAGAGGGGGGUAGAAUUCCACGUGUAGCAGUGAAAUGCGUAGAGAUGUGGAGGAAUACCAAUGGCGAAGGCAGCCCCCUGGGAUCAUAUUGACGCUCAUGCACGAAAGCGUGGGGAGCAAACA